UACAGAGGUCUCAAGCGUUAAUCGGAAUUACUGGGCGUAAAGCGUGCGCAGGCGGUUUUGUAAGCCAGAUGUGAAAUCCCCGGGCUUAACCUGGGAAUGGCAUUUGGGACUGCAAGGCUCGAGUGCGGCAGAGGAGACUGGAAUUCCUGGUGUAGCAGUGAAAUGCGUAGAUAUCAGGAGGAACACCGAUGGCGAAGGCAGGUCUCUGGGCUGACACUGACGCUCAUGCACGAAAGCGUGGGGAGCAAACAGG
rnacentral:rRNA from 1 species